ACCCAUGAGGACAGCCUCGUGCCUGCCCCUCGGGGGGCUAUUUUCACAUACAUCAGGAGAGAGGCAGCGGCACUUGCCACCUGUCAGGACUCUAAGGCUGGUGAGUAACCGGCAUACAGAGACCACUUCCUGACGCUUCCCUCCCCAGUGUCGAACACAUACCGGGCUAGAUCUCAAUGGCUGUGUGGCUAGCUGGUCCUGGCCUGUCUCUGAUUGCUGACCAGGGCAGUCUUGGGAGGUCAGUGCAGAGGUUUUAGAAGGAGAAAGGGAAAGUCAAGCCAAACCAGAAGAUCACGAAGCAGAAGCUAGGGAGGAGCCGAGAACCCGCACUGAGCAUGGAGCGAGCAGCUUGGAAGGUCACGGCCGUCCUUCAGAGGUGUGCUCGCUUGGGUAUUCCAAGGCUGGACACUCAGAAUGGGACCAAAUUCCAAGGCGGCUCCAGGUCUGUUGUCACUUGCACUGUUGUGGACACUGUUCAAGUGUACAAAGUCCACCCUCUUCAAACAAAAUAAAACCCAGACACAAAAGCACUUGUCUACUUAACAUUUACCCAGACUUCCCCUCUGAACAAUGCAAA